rnacentral:rRNA from 1 species
CAUAGGUUAAUGAGGCGAACCGGGGGAACUGAAACAUCUAAGUACCCCGAGGAAAAGAAAUCAACCGAGAUUCCCCCAGUAGCGGCGAGCGAACGGGGAGGAGCCCAGAGCCUGAAUCAGUGUGUGUGUUAGUGGAAGCGUCUGGAAAGGCGCGCGAUACAGGGUGACAGCCCCGUACACAAAAAUGCACAUAUUGUGAGCUCGAUGAGUAGGGCGGGACACGUGGUAUCCUGUCUGAAUAUGGGGGGACCAUCCUCCAAGGCUAAAUACUCCUGACUGACCGAUAGUGAACCAGUACCGUGAGGGAAAGGCGAAAAGAACCCCGGCGAGGGGAGUGAAAAAGAACCUGAAACCGUGUACGUAC